AAAUUGAAGAGUUUGAUCAUGGCUCAGAUUGAACGCUGGCGGCAGGCCUAACACAUGCAAGUCGAGCGGUAGCACAGAGAGCUUGCUCUCGGGUGACGAGCGGCGGACGGGUGAGUAAUGUCUGGGAAACUGCCUGAUGGAGGGGGAUAACUACUGGAAACGGUAGCUAAUACCGCAUAACGUCGCAAGACCAAAGUGGGGGACCUUCGGGCCUCAUGCCAUCAGAUGUGCCCAGAUGGGAUUAGCUAGUAGGUGGGGUAACGGCUCACCUAGGCGACGAUCCCUAGCUGGUCUGAGAGGAUGACCAGCCACACUGGAACUGAGACACGGUCCAGACUCCUACGGGAGGCAGCAGUGGGGAAUAUUGCACAAUGGGCGCAAGCCUGAUGCAGCCAUGCCGCGUGUGUGAAGAAGGCCUUCGGGUUGUAAAGCACUUUCAGCGGGGAGGAAGGCGAUAAGGUUAAUAACCUUGUCGAUUGACGUUACCCGCAGAAGAAGCACCGGCUAACUCCGUGCCAGCAGCCGCGGUAAUACGGAGGGUGCAAGCGUUAAUCGGAAUUACUGGGCGUAAAGCGCACGCAGGCGGUCUGUCAAGUCGGAUGUGAAAUCCCCGGGCUCAACCUGGGAACUGCAUUCGAAACUGGCAGGCUAGAGUCUUGUAGAGGGGGGUAGAAUUCCAGGUGUAGCGGUGAAAUGCGUAGAGAUCUGGAGGAAUACCGGUGGCGAAGGCGGCCCCCUGGACAAAGACUGACGCUCAGGUGCGAAAGCGUGGGGAGCAAACAGGAUUAGAUACCCUGGUAGUCCACGCCGUAAACGAUGUCGAUUUGGAGGUUGUGCCCUUGAGGCGUGGCUUCCGGAGCUAACGCGUUAAAUCGACCGCCUGGGGAGUACGGCCGCAAGGUUAAAACUCAAAUGAAUUGACGGGGGCCCGCACAAGCGGUGGAGCAUGUGGUUUAAUUCGAUGCAACGCGAAGAACCUUACCUGGUCUUGACAUCCACAGAACUUAGCAGAGAUGCUUUGGUGCCUUCGGGAACUGUGAGACAGGUGCUGCAUGGCUGUCGUCAGCUCGUGUUGUGAAAUGUUGGGUUAAGUCCCGCAACGAGCGCAACCCUUAUCCUUUGUUGCCAGCGGUUAGGCCGGGAACUCAAAGGAGACUGCCAGUGAUAAACUGGAGGAAGGUGGGGAUGACGUCAAGUCAUCAUGGCCCUUACGACCAGGGCUACACACGUGCUACAAUGGCAUAUACAAAGAGAAGCGACCUCGCGAGAGCAAGCGGACCUCAUAAAGUAUGUCGUAGUCCGGAUUGGAGUCUGCAACUCGACUCCAUGAAGUCGGAAUCGCUAGUAAUCGUAGAUCAGAAUGCUACGGUGAAUACGUUCCCGGGCCUUGUACACACCGCCCGUCACACCAUGGGAGUGGGUUGCAAAAGAAGUAGGUAGCUUAACCUUCGGGAGGGCGCUUACCACUUUGUGAUUCAUGACUGGGGUGAAGUCGUAACAAGGUAACCGUAGGGGAACCUGCGGUUGGAUCACCUCCUUACCUUAAAGAA
rnacentral:rRNA from 5 species